CUUUACUGUAGCUUUGUAUUGGACUUUGAACGGAUCUGUGUAGGAUAGGUGGGAGGCUUUGAAGUGAGGUCGCUAGAUCUCAUGGAGCCAACGUUGAAAUACCACCCUGGUGCGUUUGAGGUUCUAACCUGGGUCCCUUAUCGGGAUCGGGGACAGUGCAUGGUAGGCAGUUUGACUGGGGCGGUCUCCUCCCAAAGCGUAACGGAGGAGUUCGAAGGUACGCUAGGUACGGUCGGACAUCGUGCUAAUAGUGCAAUGGCAUAAGCGUGCUUAACUGCGAGACUGACAAGUCGAGCAGAUGCGAAAGCAGGACAUAGUGAUCCGGUGGUUCUGUAUGGAAGGGCCAUCGCUCAACGGAUAAAAGGUA
rnacentral:rRNA from 1 species